rnacentral:misc_RNA from 1 species
AGUGAGAAAUAGUGUGUUUAUGCUACGCUCAAAAAUAGAACUCCAAUCCUUCGAGAUCUCCUUGGCAAGCUGCUCUCUUUCUUCAUCUUCUUUUUUGGUACUGUACAAGUGUGCACUUGACCGGAGACCAUGGAAAGGAGAACCUUGCAGUGCUUGUCCAGAGACGGCAAGCUGACGAGCACGAAGAGCGAGAAGGGAUUUCCGAGCUAAGAUCGCAGCCAUGACAAAUUGUGGCUGUGUUGUAAGCCGAUGCUUUUCACCGCUACUCAAAGGGUG